rnacentral:rRNA from 1 species
UGAACGCUAGCGACAGGCUAACACAUGCAAGUCGAGGGGCGAGCAUAAAAGUAGCAAUACUUGGUGGCGACCGGCGCACGGGUGAGUAACGCGUAUGCAACCUACCUAUCAGAGGGGAAUAACCCGGCGAAAGUCGGACUAAUACCGCAUAAAACAGGGGCACCGCAUGGUGAUAUUUGUUAAAGAAAUUCGCUGAUAGAUGGGCAUGCGUUCCAUUAGGUAGUUGGUGAGGUAACGGCUCACCAAGCCGACGAUGGAUAGGGGAACUGAGAGGUUGGUCCCCCACACUGGUACUGAGACACGGACCAGACUCCUACGGGAGGCAGCAGUGAGGAAUAUUGGUCAAUGGGCGGGAGCCUGAACCAGCCAAGUCGCGUGAAGGAAGAAGGAUCUAUGGUUCGUAAACUUCUUUUGCAGGGGAAUAAAGUGCAGGACGUGUCCUGUUUUGUAUGUACCCUGAGAAUAAGGGUCGGCUAACUCCGUGCCAGCCGCUGC